rnacentral:rRNA from 1 species
UACGUAGGGACCAAGCGUUGUUCGGAUUUACUGGGCGUAAAGGGCGCGUAGGCGGCACUGUUAGUCAGGCGUGAAAGUCCUGGGCUCAACCUGGGAACUGCGCUUGAUACGGCAGAGCUAGAGGAUGGAAGAGGCUCGCGGAAUUCCCAGUGUAGAGGUGAAAUUCGUAGAUAUUGGGAAGAACACCGGUGGCGAAGGCGGCGAGCUGGUCCAUUACUGACGCUGAGACACGAAAGCGUGGGUAGCAAACAGG